CAGUCGCCGCGGUAAUACGUAGGUGGCAAGCGUUGUCUGGAAUUAUUGGGCGUAAAGGGCUCGCAGGCGGUUUCUUAAGUCUGAUGUGAAAGCCCCCGGCUCAACCGGGGAGGGUCAUUGGAAACUGGGAAACUUGAGUGCAGAAGAGGAGAGUGGGAUUCCACGUGUAGCGGUGAAAUGCGUAGAGAUGUGGAGGAACACCAGUGGCGAAGGCGACUCUCUGGUCUGUAACUGACGCUGAGGAGCGAAAGCGUGGGGAGCGAACAGGAUUAGAUACCCCUGUAGUCCCUGUCUCUUAUAC
rnacentral:rRNA from 1 species